rnacentral:rRNA from 1 species
CAAUAGCGUAUAUUAAAGUUGUUGCAGUUAAAAAGCUCGUAGUUGGAUUUCGGGGUGGCCUGGCUGGUCCGCCGCAAGGUGAGUACUGGUCAGCCGCCCUUCCUCUCGAAAGCCCCGACUGCUCUUUACUGCAGUGGUCGGGUAGUUCGGGACGUUUACUUUGAAAAAAUUAGAGUGUUCAAGGCAGGCUAUCGCCUGAAUACAUUAGCAUGGAAUAAUGGAAGAGGACCUCGGUCCUAUUUUGUUGGUUUCUAGGGCCGAAGUAAUGAUUAAGAGGGACAGUUGGGGGCAUUCGUAUUUAAUUGUCAGAGGUGAAAUUCUUGGAUUUAUGAAAGACGAACUAGUGCGAAAGCAUUUGCCAAGGAUGUUUUCAUUAG